UCUCACCUCUGUAGAGUUCUUUUUUUGAAGUAAAUGGUUUCAUUAUAAAUAGUCAGAUGAGACUGAACUACUCCAAGGAUGGUGCCUAUGAAGUAGCAAACAUUGAGGAAACUCAAUGACAGGGAGCUCCAAUUCCACAGGAAGAAUGACAAAACCCAUUUCAAGACAAAGAGCUCUGGGAAGACCAAGCUAAUUCAAUUAACUCAGUCUUGAGAGGACAAAGAAUGCUGCUAUGGAAUUUACUUUUAUGCUUAUCUAUAAUAAUGAAGAGGAAUUAACCAGACAAAGAGGAAAAAAAUGUAUAUUGCUUACAUCUCCACAUGAGGGCCUCCCCUGGUGGCACAGCAGUUGAGCGCUGGGCUGUGAAGCUGCCCGCAGCCUCUACAGUGCUGGUUCGAUCCCUGGC